GAUGACGAACUGGAGGUAUGACCUAUUGGCUUGGUGGAUUUUAAACUAAGUUGUAUCAUAUUUUUUUGGUCUUGCAUCAUAUGUCUAUUACCAAAAUUAGUAUUCUUGCUCUGUUACACCUGCAUGGUUGCCCCUCUGAGGGCAAAAAUUAGAAAAAAUUUCUUGAACUGCUAGUGUAGGCUGCCUUGUUUUUUUAAGCUGACAUUAUCCAGGUUUGGAAGAUAAGUUUACUGUUUGGACAACCAUUUGCAAGUACUGUCUUGGACAUCACUGCAUGGUUCUUUUGUGCUUUAAAACCUCACGAGCUUGCUGAAAUUGGCCCCCUGUGUAUAAGUUAUAAUGUUUUACACUUCUAGGAGAAAACAGUGAUUCAUAUUUACUGUUGCUGAAGUUGCACAUUAUAACGCUUUUACAAACUUUGUGCCAACAGUUAUGUAGAUUCUGACAGAAGGUUUCAACACGUCCUUGAGGCAUGUGGAGUAUUUAAAUCUCUUACAAGGCUUGGUGUUAAAGAGGGGGACACUGUUGUCAUUGGUGAGGUAUGUCACCCAUUAUUUUUGCCUCCCCUCUUAGUUUCUAUUCCCCCUCAUGUUACCCAUGUUGGGUUAAUUAUCUAGUUGGUCACUGAAGUGGGCUUAAUGUAUCAAGUUGGUCACUGAACUGAAAACGGUAUCAAGGUGGUCACUAAAGUCAUCAUAAAUAUCAAACAAGUACCUCGAAAUAUGAGUUCAAGCAAUACAAAUAUUAUUUAUAGAGUUUUACACAUUAUUAUUGAAAGUUACCACAACCAACUAAAAGGUUAUGACUUCUAGAAUUUAUAAAAUUUAUUUAGAUUUUAUCAAUUUUAUUUUUUAUUUAUUUUUAAUUAAAGCCAAGAAAAUAAUUAUAUAAUAAAUAAUAAAUAAUAAAUAAACUUGAUAAUAUCUAAAUAUAUUAUCAUAAAUACUAGAAGUCAUAGCCUUUUAAUUGGUUAUUGUAACAUUUAAAAAUAGUGUGUAAAACUCAAUAAAUAAUAUUUUUAGUGCUUGAACUCAAAUUUAUCAUGACUUUAGUGACCAUCCUGAUACCGUUUUCAGUUCAGUGACCAACUUGAUACAUUAAGCCCACUUUAGUGACCAACUAGAUAAUUAUCCCAUGUUAAAAGGGCCUUACUUCAGUUCUUACAAGCUUAAAUUAUUAAAGUCUCUUCAUACUCUGUUAAACAGUGUCAGAAUAUAACCAUAAACUAAAAUUAGUUGAAAGUGAAAUAGAAAAAUGUGUGUUGUAAUAUGCAAUUAAGAGCAGAUCAAAAAUAUUCUGGCAGACACACUUUUUUCUAUUUUAAACUGGUAAAUCACUUAGACCUAUCAAUUGUUUCGUGUCGUGUACUUUCGUGUUUAGUGUACUUGAUGGUGAAACCGUACCCGACCCGUUUAGGAUUCUUGUACCUAAUCUGAAAUCCAUUUGCUUCGAAAUAUGUCGUAUACUUUUCGUGUACAUUUAAUAUAUAUAUAUAUAUAUAUAUAUAUAUAUAUAAUAUAUAUAUAUAUAGAGAGAGAGAGAGAGAGUUAAGUUCUAUGGAGUACAUAAAAACAUUGGAGUAUUGGAGUACAAAUCAUAAUUUUUUAGUUUGAUCCUAAAUAACAUGUAUGAUUAUCCAAAUUUAUAUAUAAUCUAUCAUUUAUAAGUUGUCUUGCACAUAAUUGUUGGUUAUUCAUUAAUAUCUUUCAACUUUAACAAGUAUUAAGAUUGUUGUUCUGCUUAGUAGUUAUAUUGCAGAACAUAGUCUUGUGAUUUAUAAAAGAAAUUAUUCUACUCUUUUGGAUUACAAUGUUUAUGUCGUAGAAUAUAAUGUGCAGGUUGUCAGAUAUUUACAAAUAUUAUUGAACAAAAAAAAUUGAAAUUUAGAUGACUAGAUUACAUUUUAUCACUUUGUACUCCAAUACUCCAAUAUUUUUUGUACUCCAUAGAACUUAACUCUCUCUCUCUCUCUCUUUAACCCGUGCGAAGCACGGGCGGUUAUAUAAGUCAUAGUUUAUUUUUUAUAAUUUAAAUUGUAACAUCAUUUUAUUAGUAUUUUAAUAUCAAUAAUUUUUUGUCAUCCCCCCCACCCACCCCCUUCUUAAGCCUGCAAAUCACUACAAGCAAAUUAGAUUUUCCUUGUUUAAUGUUUAUAUAUUGCUUUUAGUAUUCAUAUGGUUUAAAUUUAUAUAUUCACUUAAAUGUUAUAACCAGAGUACAUCUAAAGUUAAAAAUGCUAUGAGCAACAAAUAAUAUAUUAGUUAAGUAUUCAUAAUUUGUUUAAGUUCAUUUUGGUUUCAUUAUGGUUUGGUUUUGAUAAGAAAUACAUGUACUAAUGAAUACUGAUAUCUCGACGGUUAGUUUCUUUGUUCAUGUUUGGUUUAGUUCUUUAAAAUUGGAUCCAGACCAAACUAGUAGGUUUUGUUGUUUGGUUUUGUGAUGCACUCGCGGGGUAUGCCCCCAGACUCUGUUCUAUGUUUUUUUACUGAGUUGUAAAAUUUUAUUUAGCAAAAAGGUUUUCUGUUGUUCUAAAGAUAUAUUCUCCGCCGAUCCAGAUCUAUACUUUUAUGCACGCACUUCUAUUUCUGGUGUACUGACAUGAUGACUUCUAUUUGAUUUAGGUUUUAAUAGCCCUUUAAAUUUAAACCAUGUGGCUGAUAUGGUGUCAAAGCAGCGAAAGUCUCCAAUAAAUGAGUUUGAGAUCUCUCAUGACACCUCUUCAAAUACUUGGAAUGUAGUCGGAGCGGGGCUGCAACGUUUUGUCCAGAUGACGAACUGGAGGUAUGACCUAUUGGCUUGGUGGAUUUUAAACUAAGUUGUAUCAUAUUUUUUUGGUCUUGCAUCAUAUGUCUAUUACCAAAAUUAGUAUUCUUGCUCUGUUACACCUGCAUGGUUGCCCCUCUGAGGGCAAAAAUUAGAAAAAAUUUCUUGAACUGCUAGUGUAGGCUGCCUUGUUUUUUUAAGCUGACAUUAUCCAGGUUUGGAAGAUAAGUUUACUGUUUG
rnacentral:lncRNA from 1 species